rnacentral:RNase_P_RNA from 1 species
GCGGAUGGCUGGAUGACCGCGGCUGCCCAUAGCUCCGCGUUUCGCGGAUAGCUGGGGGGUCGAGGAAAGUCCGGACUCCAUGAAGCGGCGGUGCCGGGUAACGCCCGGCGGGGGAAACCCUAGGGAAAGCGCCACAGAGAAGAGACCGCCCUGCUUGCAGGGUAAGGGUGAAACGGUGGGGUAAGAGCCCACCGCGGGACGGGUAACCGGACCGGCACGGCAAGCCCCACCGGGAGCAACGCCGAAUAGGGACCACGCGCCGCUCGCGGCAGGGGAGCUUCGCCCCGAGUGGUCCGGGUUGGCGGCUAGAUCCUGCGGGCAACCGCAGGGCCAGAGGAAUGGUCAUCCAGGGGGCAACCCCGGACAAAAUCCGGCUUACAGGCCAUCCGCGCAA